AUUGAACGCUGGCGGCAGGCCUAACACAUGCAAGUCGAGCGGAUGAAGGGAGCUUGCUCCUGGAUUCAGCGGCGGACGGGUGAGUAAUGCCUAGGAAUCUGCCUGGUAGUGGGGGAUAACGUCCGGAAACGGGCGCUAAUACCGCAUACGUCCUGAGGGAGAAAGUGGGGGAUCUUCGGACCUCACGCUAUCAGAUGAGCCUAGGUCGGAUUAGCUAGUUGGUGGGGUAAAGGCCCACCAAGGCGACGAUCCGUAACUGGUCUGAGAGGAUGAUCAGUCACACUGGAACUGAGACACGGUCCAGACUCCUACGGGAGGCAGCAGUGGGGAAUAUUGGACAAUGGGCGAAAGCCUGAUCCAGCCAUGCCGCAUGUGUGAAGAAGGUCUUCGGAUUGUAAAGCACUUUAAGUUGGGAGGAAGGGCAGUAAGUUAAUACCUUGCUGUUUUGACGUUACCAACAGAAUAAGCACCGGCUAACUUCGUG
rnacentral:rRNA from 1 species